rnacentral:lncRNA from 1 species
CUUAUUAGUGUCUUCCUUAUUUGUCUUUAUAUAAUUACUUGCUUACAAAAAAGCAAAAAGAAAAUAAAAUUACUUAGUGGAUGGGUCAAGCACUCAAGCUAUUACAUCAAGUGCACGUUUGGUACCCGGUACUGGAUUAGACCUCCUUAAUUCUUAAGACUGUCCUGCACUAGUGUGAACUGUCUUAAAUUGUACUAAUACUAGGCCACGUUUGGUGUUGCAUGGGAUUAGGAAAAAAAGUUCUAAAUUAGAGAUGUCUCAUGUUUGGUGAUGCAUUGGACUAGACUACUCUAAACAUAACAAUCUUAGUCUAACAAUCUAAACAAUCUUGGUUAUCUAACAAUAACAAUCUAACAUCUAACAAUCUUGGUCAUUGAAAUUUUGACAAGGAUUGUACAAACAGACAUAUUCUCUAAAUGCCACAGUUCCAACAGCAAGAUCAACAACAGAUUUCUUCCAUCCAUAUCUAAAAGUAAAAAAAUUGAAUCAACCAACAAUUCCCCACAAACAAAUAAGUGUAUGAAUAGACUUGCAUGCCUUAGUUAACAUUGAUAUCAGUAACAUUUAGUCAGAAUCAACAUAUUAAGAACCAAACAAUUAGUAUUAAUUCCAAUGUUUGUUUUGAUAAACAAGCAUCAGACAGAUAACAAUUCACCACAAUCAAACUGAAUCAACAUUAAACUGAUCAAUUAAUUAUCAAAGAGAGAAAGGAAGAAAUAGAUGGACAUACCUGUUGACGAAUCCGGGAAGAAGAUGGCGGCGAGCUUGGCCUUGGAGGUGUCGACAGCGCGGGUCAGAGGAGGUUGAGGACGGACCGGGUCUGGGAGACGAGGGUGCGGAUCAGAGAGGAAGUUGAGGAUGGGAGCGGAUGCGGGUCUGGGAGCCGAGGGCGUGGACGGGAGGGGUUGCGGGUCUGGGAGCCAAGGGCGAGGGUCAGAGAGGAGGUUGAGGACGAGAGAGGGCGUGGGUCUGGGAGCCGAGGGCGGGGGUGGAGGAGGUUGAGGACGGGAGAGGGCGGGGGUCUGGGAGCCGAGGGCGAGGGUGGAGGAGGUUGAGGACGGGAGAGGGCGCGGGUCUGGGAGCGGAGGGGGCGGAGCAGAUGCAGAUCUGGGAGAUGAAGGUGGAGGAGUUGUGGAGGAGGCGUAGAGAGGUUAGUGAGAUUAGUGAGGUCUUAUCUAAGGUAGGAUUUUCGGAAUACCCACGAUAACACCGGUUAAGGAGGAGAAAUCAGAAAACCGGUCCUAGUUAAGCCCAUUAAUGUUAGUACCGAGAGAGACCAAACGUGGGAUUAGCUUUGUUUCACUCCUUAUUUAAGAUUGGCUUAGGUAGUACCGGGUACCAAACAUACCCUUACUAAUCUUGUUUAUCCAAGACAAAUGUUGGGUCAGACAACAAAGGACUACUAGUCAGAUAUGUAAUUGUUUUUGGGUGAAAUAGUUAUAUAUUUUGGAUCAACAUAUAUAGAGAAAAUCUGGCUUGUGCGACCAACCCCACAGAAGCUAACACAUGUCACUUUUUUCUCCACGUCAACGUUGCUGAAAACACAACAAAAGCUCUGGUUCGUUUCCGACUACACUUUUCGCCGCUUCGCCAAGAACCGCCUAUUGCACCAAGCAGAACAAUCUCUACACCCUUGAAACCCUCCUCCAUCACGUCAACCAACACCACCACCUCAAGCUCACUCAUGAACGCCUGCACAUAGGGAUCCACUACAUCACAUUCUCCAAUCACAAAUCCCUCCGGUCGUGUUUGGAUUACCUGGAUUACCCCACUGGCAAGAACGCAAGAUCCCCAACUCUCACCCAUCUAACUCGUCCUCCCUUAAAACCCUAAAUUUCCCGAUCUUCCCCUCGAUAACUCCCCCUUCUCCAAACACAUCUGAACAACAAUGGCUUCUGUGUGGAGAAGGAAAUUAAAGGUUAGGAAGAUGCUGACGUGGAGAAAAAGUCUCAUGUGUCAGCUUAUGUGUGGCUGGUCACACAAGUCAUCUGGUGCGGCUGUUGCAUGCCAAAUUUUCUCACAUAUAUAACUUGGGUCAGAGAAAAUAACAAUUUGAGUACAAGUACUUACAUGGAAACAUAUUUUUUCGGUUAAUUUAUAGUUUUUGAGCUCAUCAUAAGUUCACGGGAAAAAGAUGUGACCGUUGUAAUUAAAAAUACUGAAGAAUUAACGCGCGAAAUGUUUAAAACCAUAAAAGUUAGAGUUAAUUGAUUAGUGUAAUUUCUAAUACUCUUUGUUAUGAUACAACUGUUGCACCAGAGGAAGACUAGAAAAGCAAAAUCCAAGACCAAAAAUAUAAAUGGGAAGGUUUUGUGAUUUAAUUCAUCUGCAGACAAAGGAAUGGAGCAUACAUGUCACUGAAGUUGAUGACAUGGCAACGAGUAAUUGGUGAAUUGCAGCUAGUGAUUAGUUCAUCAAGGCUUGUUGUACUGCAGGUGUCCUUCAUUCAGUCGGGCACGCUGUACUGAGAGGCUACCACCCUCUUUCUGAGGAGCCCUAGCUAGAAUAAAUACAUGUCAUUUACCUCUAUCUUUCUCCCCCGCAGAAAUAUUAUUGUCUGAAAUCAACUAGCUCGAUCAGUGCCUCCCUCCUUUGCUCUCUCAUAAUUUAGG